rnacentral:rRNA from 1 species
CAGUAGCCGCGGUAAUACGGAGGGUGCAAGCGUUAAUCGGAAUUACUGGGCGUAAAGCGCACGCAGGCGGUCUGACAAGUCAGAUGUGAAAUCCCCGGGCUUAACCUGGGAACUGCAUUUGAAACUGUCAGGCUGGAGUCUUGUAGAGGGGGGUAGAAUUCCAGGUGUAGCGGUGAAAUGCGUAGAGAUCUGGAGGAAUACCGAUGGCGAAGGCAGCCAUCUGGCCUAAUACUGACGCUGAGGUACGAAAGCAUGGGGAGCAAACAGGAUUAGAUACCCCUGUAGUCCCUGUCUCUUAUAC